rnacentral:rRNA from 1 species
CCUACGGGAGGCAGCAGUGGGGAAUAUUGCACAAUGGGCGAAAGCCUGAUGCAGCGACGCCGCGUGAGGGAUGACGGCCUUCGGGUUGUAAACCUCUUUCAGCAGGGAAGAAGCGAAAGUGACGGUACCUGCAGAAGAAGCGCCGGCUAACUACGUGCCAGCAGCCGCGGUAAUACGUAGGGCGCAAGCGUUGUCCGGAAUUAUUGGGCGUAAAGAGCUCGUAGGCGGCUUGUCACGUCGGGUGUGAAAGCCCGGGGCUUAACCCCGGGUCUGCAUUCGAUACGGGCUAGCUAGAGUGUGGUAGGGGAGAUCGGAAUUCCUGGUGUAGCGGUGAAAUGCGCAGAUAUCAGGAGGAACACCGGUGGCGAAGGCGGAUCUCUGGGCCAUUACUGACGCUGAGGAGCGAAAGCGUGGGGAGCGAACAGGAUUAGAUACCCUGGUAGUCCACGCCGUAAACGGUGGGAACUAGGUGUUGGCGACAUCCACGUCGUCGGUGCCGCAGCUACGCAUUAACGUUACCCGUCCCGUCGGGAGGUACGGCCGGCGACGACGUAAACCUACAAGGAAGUUAGACGGCGNGAGACGNGCCGACGGACGACGACGAGGGAGUAGG